CUAGCAGUAUCAGAGUUUGAUCCUGGCUCAGGACGAACGCUGGCGGCGUGCUUAACACAUGCAAGUCGAGCGGGGAUACCCGACGGAAAGCUUCGGCCGGAAGUUUGGUAUUCUAGCGGCGGACGGGUGAGUAACGCGUGAGCAAUCUGUCCCAGACAGGGGGAUAACACUUGGAAACAGGUGCUAAUACCGCAUAAGACCACGGGGUCGCAUGGCUCUGAGGUAAAAGAAAUUCGGUUUGGGGUGAGCUCGCGUCCGAUUAGCUAGUUGGUGAGGUAACGGCCCACCAAGGCGACGAUCGGUAGCCGACCUGAGAGGGUGAUCGGCCACAUUGGAACUGAGACACGGUCCAA
rnacentral:rRNA from 1 species